AGAGUUUGAUCCUGGCUCAGAUUGAACGCUGGCGGAAUGCUUUACACAUGCAAGUCGAGCGGCAGCGCGGGGCAACCUGGCGGCGAGCGGCGAACGGGUGAGUAAUGCAUCGGAACCUGCCCUGGGGUGGGGGAUAACCGAUGGAAACGUCGGCUAAUACCGCAUACGUCCUGAGGGAGAAAGAUUUAUCGCCCUGGGAGGGGCCCGCGUCGGAUUAGGUAGUUGGUGGGGUAACGGCCUACCAAGCCGAUGAUCCGUAGCUGGUCUGAGAGGAUGAUCAGCCACACUGGGACUGAGACACGGCCCAGACUCCUACGGGAGGCAGCAGUGGGGAAUAUUGGACAAUGGGCGCAAGCCUGAUCCAGCAAUGCCGCGUGAGUGAUGAAGGCCUUAGGGUUGUAAAGCUCUUUCGGCGGGGACGAUGAUGACGGUACCCGCAGAAGAAGCCCCGGCUAACUUCGUGCCAGCAGCCGCGGUAAUACGAAGGGGGCAAGCGUUGUUCGGAAUUACUGGGCGUAAAGGGCGCGCAGGCGGCCAAGCAAGUCAGAUGUGAAAGCCCCGGGCUCAACCUGGGAAUAGCAUUUGGGACUGUUUGGCUAGAGAUCGGGAGAGGAGGGUGGAAUUCCCAGUGUAGAGGUGAAAUUCGUAGAUAUUGGGAAGAACACCAGUGGCGAAGGCGGCUCUCUGGACCGAUACUGACGCUGAGGCGCGAAAGCGUGGGGAGCAAACAGGAUUAGAUACCCUAGUAGUCC
rnacentral:rRNA from 1 species